rnacentral:pre_miRNA from 1 species
AGAGGAAUAGCUGGGUCAAAUAGUGGUUCCAUUCCAACUUUCCAAGGAAUCUCCAUACUGCUUUCCAAAUUGGCUGGACUAAUUUGCAGUCCCACCAGCAGU